rnacentral:rRNA from 1 species
AAUUUGGGACAAUGGUGGAAACGCUGAUCCAGCCAUGCCGCGUGUAUGAUGAAGGCCAUCGGGUUGUAAAGUACUUUUGGUAGAGAAGAAAAGGUACCUCCUAAUACGAGGUACUGCUGACGGUAUCUGCAGAAUAAGCAACGGCUAACUACGUGCCAGCAGCCGCGGUAAUACGCAGGGUGCAAGCGUUAAUCGGAAUUACUGGGCGUAAAGCGUGUGUAGGCGGUUCAGAAAGAAAGAUGUGAAAUCCCAGGGCUCAACCUUGGAACUGCAUUUUUAACUGCCGAGCUAGAGUAUGUCAGAGGGGGGUAGAAUUCCACGUGUAGCAGUGAAAUGCGUAGAUAUGUGGAGGAAUACCGAUGGCGAAGGCAGCCCCCUGGGAUAAUACUGACGCUCAGACACGAAAGCGUGGGGAGCAAACAG